rnacentral:rRNA from 1 species
GGAAUAUUGGUCAAUGGCCGAGAGGCUGAACCAGCCAUGCCGCGUGCGGGAGGACGGCCCUAUGGGUUGUAAACCGCUUUUGUCAGGGAGCAAUAAGGUCCACGAGUGGACUGAUGAGAGUACCUGGCGAAUAAGCAUCGGCUAACUCCGUGCCAGCAGCCGCGGUAAUACGGAGGAUGCGAGCGUUAUCCGGAUUUAUUGGGUUUAAAGGGUGCGUAGGCGGGCUUUUAAGCGUGAGGUGAAAUGCCCAGGCUCAACCUGGGAACUGCCUCGCGAACUGGAGGCCUUGAAUGUCCGUGCCGUGGGAGGAAUGUGUGGUGUAGCGGUGAAAUGCAUAGAGAUCACACAGAACACCGAUUGCGAAGGCAUCUCACGAACGGAUGAUUGACGCUGAGGCACGAAAGCGUGGGGAUCAAACA